rnacentral:rRNA from 1 species
AUUGAACGCUGGCGGCAGGCCUAACACAUGCAAGUCGCACGAGUGGCGGACGGGUGAGUAAUGUCUGGGAAACUGCCUGAUGGAGGGGGAUAACUACUGGAAACGGUAGCUAAUACCGCAUACCAUCAGAUGUGCCCAGAUGGGAUUAGCUAGUUGGUGGGGUAACGGCUCACAAAGGCGACGAUCCCUAGCUGGUCUGAGAGGAUGACAAGCCACACGGGAACUGAGAAACGGUCCAGAGUCCUACGGGAGGUAGCAGUGGGGAAUAUUGCACAAUGGGCGCAAGCCUGAUGCAGCCAUGCCGAGGGUAUGAAGAAGGCCGUCGGGGUGGAAAGGAAUUUCAGCGGGGAGGCGUUACCCGCAGAAGAAGCACCGGCUAACUCCGUGCCAGCAGCCGCGGUAAUAC